AUAGGUAGUGAAGAUGGUGAUUGUUCAGAGAUGAGUGUCCGCUCGGAGCUAUGGGCGAAGUAACACGAGAGCUCGGUGAAGUUCUUCAGUUGAAGCUGAUGCGAAGAUGAUGAUGUUGCUUGAAGAACGUUGUUGAAGAUGAGUGAAGGUGAUUGAAGCUGAUAGAGAAUGGGAGAAAAGAGGCAGAGCGAAGGCAGAAUGGUGGAAGAGGUGGAGACUCAGAGGAGGUUUGAAGUGAUGAAGAUCAGAAGGGAUUAAGGAAGUGGAGAAGAUUGUGUGAAGAGUGAAGAAUUGAAGAUGAUGGUGUUCUGCUGAGAAAGUGAAGAAGAUGAAAGUGAGUUGUGGAGAAUGCAAACAGAGUGGUGAAGGGAGAAUGAAAGUGAAGAGAGCAAAAAUGGUGGAGGAGAUCAAUGAAGAAGGGAUUGAGGAUUAUAUAUAGAAGCUAAAGUGGCUUGACGGACUCGUUGAAGCGUUAACAUUGACCGAAGAUGCAUCCUCAAUUGAAUUUGUUCCAUUUGAAAUGAUGUUACCAGAGAGGUUUGAG